rnacentral:lncRNA from 1 species
UAAUGCUUAGUAAUGCAUAUAUUUUGUAUUUUUAGCUUUCCAGAAGAUCCUGCGAAGAAGGCAUGAAGUAUAGAUCUGAUUUGUUAAUAGAGGAGUAUGUUCAAAACAUUUUUUAGAAAAAGAUAUUGACAGAACUUCACUUUCAUCUGUUCGUUUGAGAGACUGUGCUGUUCCAAUAGCUUAUGUCACACAGAAUCAGCCGAGAGAAGUGGUCUACAAAAAAACCAGGAAGGAAAUGGAAUAUGUGGCUACGAAAAGCAAAAGAAAGGUUUACAAGCAAAUGUGACACAUUUUUUUUAUAAUAUUUAGGAAUGUCAGUAAAUUACAUUAAAAAAAUGUAUGAAAAGAUUUUUUGCAAUAAAAAUGUUUAUAUUUA